AUAUAUAUAUAUUUAUAUAUAUCUACCAUCCACAAUCAAGGCAAGCAUCCACCAACCACGCCAACCGGCUCGUCAAAUGUGUUUCUAUAUUAAAAAUGUGAUAUUUUUAACAUAGUAACCGGGAUUAAUUAAUUAAAAGACAGCUUAAACUAAUAUAGAGAUGUACAGGCAACAACUUUAAUAUUUUUAUAAUUCGGGACGCGUCAAGCCGGGACGAUAUCGCCACCCUUAUUCAAUCCGUCCAAAAUGUCCAAUCCAUACCGCUAUAUACAUAAAAAUGUUUGCCUUUUAUUUGUAUGAAAAUCUACACAAUUUUAAAAAACUUGUGGUAGGGCUUUGUGCAAGCUCGUCUGGGUAGGUUCACCCACCACACUCUCAUCAGAUAUUCUACCGCAAAACAGCAGUACUUGGUAUUGUUGUGUUCCGGUUUUAAGGGUGAGUGAGCCAGUCUAAUUACAAGCACAAGGAACAUAACAUCUUAGUUCCCAAGGUUGGUGGCGCAUUGGUGAUAUAAGCGAUGGUUAACAUUUCUUACAAUGCCAAUGUCUAAGGGCGUUGGUGACCACUCAUACUCAUACCAUCAGGUGGCCCAUAUGCUCGUGCGCCUUCCUAUUCUAUAAAUCAAUAAAAUCCGUCCAAAAUGUCCAUUCCAUACCGCUAUGUACAUGAAAAUGUUUGCCUUUUAUUUGUAUGAAAAUGUACCCAAUUUUAAGAAACUAAAAAAAACAGACGCUCAUGUCGAGGAUAAUUUAAAAUUAAAACCGUCAGAGUGCUAAUCGAAGAUGUCAUCUGUUUUGAGGUGGUGUGAAAUUUAUUUCAACAGACUCCAAUGUGAGGACGACAUGUAUUGUUUCAUGGAAACGGUUUAACUCUCCGCUAGAUGGCGCCGCAGCACAUCAACUUCUGUACCGUUCAACCGAUCGCCAGGAAAGGGGGUAAGUGGCUGCUGGGAGGGGAGAAAUGUUUUAGUACUCCUUCCUAGAGGAAGGUACAUUCUAUAAUAAAAUUCGUUACAUAUCUUUAAUUUCGAAAAUGUUAUCCAUAAGGCAUAUUACUCAAUAAAAUAUAAUAUAGAUUAAAAAAAAGCGUGUGGUUAGUAUUCGUUGAUUUACAGGAUAAAUUAUAAUUCAAUCGUAUUUAAUUAUCUAUGUGACAUGAUUGUUAAAAAACAGUGAGGAAAUCAUUAGGAGUUUCUUGCCGGUUCUUCUCGGUGGAACCUUCAUUGCGAACCGGUGGUAGCUUCAAAUUUAAUUUAAUCUUGUAUUAUAACCAUUCAAAAGUCCUCACAACAUCCCACUUGAAUAAAAUAUAAUAUGAUUUGAUUACUCUCUAGACUAUAAAGAUUCCUUCUAUAUAUUUCUAUAUAUUUAUUUGUAUUUUUUUUUGUUAUUAUAUAUGUACAUCUCAUAUUCUACAAUUCAACUACAAAAAAAUGGCAGUCCAACAUAAGUUUUUAAUACUUUUUCGUGUUUAUAUAGCAGUAUUUCUCGUCUUCCCUUAAGUUGGGUCGUAUUGGUUUGAGGGCUUCGCCGACACGGUAUGCGUUUUAUCGCCAUGAUCCCUCAGCCUCUCCGGCCCAGGAUGAUGGUUUAUACGCCAUUUUGACGCCUUUAUCCUUGAAUUGCCUCUCUCUCUCUGACAUUUCACGACCGUUUUUUGCGGUGAGUUUCGAGU